UCCCUGGUGGUCCAGUGGCUAAGACUCUGCACUCCCAAUACAGGGGCCUGGGUUCAAUCCCUGGUCAGGGAA
rnacentral:tRNA from 1 species